CUCUCUCACACACACACACUUUGCUUUGCCUGUGAAUGAGCAUGUUUUACAGGCUUCUCUAGCACACAUGGACUUAUUCAGCUGCCGUGACUUCAGAGAGUGACUGCGCCAUCUCCCUUGCUCUGCUCUCUCAGGCUGUCAUUUCCCCCAUCUCUCCUUUAAAGAUGUAAAAGGGAAGAGAAGGCUGCUGAGGCACAGGCUCCUUUUCACUCUGUUUUGCCCCCACCUUUCAACCCAGCCAUCCGCCCACACUCGCAGCCCUUCUCUGCAUUAUCUUCUCUUGGCCAGAUGGAAAGGAGUCUGCAGGAGAGGCAGUUUAUAGAAUAAACAGGAAAACUGGGACACAAGGCUCAAUGCCCUCCAAGGGUCCCUGAGAAUCUAUGACAGCUGAUGGACAUGACCCAACUAAGCCACCACUGGGCACGUCAGGAAGGCUAUGGCAAAGGGACCCUAAUAUCAACGCUAAAUGAACGAUAGAGAGGAUAAGCGCCUUUAACUCGCCUAGCAAAUAUGGAGCGGCAUCCAGAUAAAUAAAACCAACAGAACCCAAGGCACGUAACCGCGACUUCAGAGAGACAGGAAGACAAUUUCUCCUUAAGAAAAAGAAAAAACCUGUGUGUGCCUGACUAAGGAGUUGAGCGUUUUCUGUCCUUCAGUGCCGGUCAAGUGUGUUGUCUGUCACAGACACCAACAAGCCAUUUCACUUGGGACUUGGUUAAACUGCCACAGGCUUUUGAAAUUCCUGAAUACACUGCCUGGCAGAUUAUGUCUUUCUGUACUGAAGAAAACAAACAAACAAACAAACAAAUAAACAUGUGAUUAAUAAACCACAUCUUCCUUGUUGAUUAACUGUAGAAGAAUUUUAAUCCAGAAACAUGGCUGCUGUGGUGAGGGAUAACUUCUGUAGACCUGUCUAUGGGAUCCAGCAGGAAUGCAGGCACACCACACACCUUUAAUCCCUCUGGCUGAAAUACACACCCUUAACACACACCUCUAAUCCCAAACAGUGAAAGUAAAGUUAGUUUGUAGAAGGAAGCACCAAUGUUUGAAAGUGAUGUCUAGUUGAGAGGCAGACAAAGUGACUACUCAGAGAAAGAGGUGACAGAGUAGAAGAUGCCAACUCUCACUAGAACAGGGAGGAAUGGAGGUGACUUAAGAGAGCAGCACAGAGGGAGAGAGAGAAGAGGCGAUUUUACCAGGAGCAUUUUACAGAAACAGGUUAAAGAGAGAACAAGUCAGACACAGCAGAAGACAGAAUGAGCCAGAGAAUGAGAAGGAGCCAGAAGAUUAGAGCAUGUUGCCAAAGUUAGUAUGCCAAAGCUAUUCAGUCAGAGGUGAGAGAAGCCAGUUUGAAUCAGUCACCUGGCAGUGGGGUUUGAGCCAGAACAGCUGAAUUGAACUAGCCAGCCAGAGUUCAGAAAGCUAGAAAGGGUGAGUUUAUUCAGCAGUAAGUCUCAAA